UUAUACUUUAGUGUUAAUUUGCACACAAAUUUUUGAUAUUUGAAGAUUAAAUAAGAGUUUAACGGUAUA
rnacentral:tRNA from 1 species